rnacentral:tRNA from 1 species
GACCAGUUAGCUCAGUCGGUUGAGCGUGAUGCUGAUAACACCAAGGUUGUGGGUUCGAUCCCUGUUCGGUCC